UGAGGAAUAUUGGUCAAUGGUCGAGAGACUGAACCAGCCAAGUCGCGUGAAGGAUGACUGCCCUAUGGGUUGUAAACUUCUUUUACAAGGGAAUAAAUUGAGAUACGUGUAUUUUAUUGCAUGUACCCUGGGAAUAAGCCUCGGCUAACUCUGUGCCAGCAGCCGCGGUAAUACGGAGGAAGCGAGCGUUAUCCGGAUUUAUUGGGUUUAAAGGGUGCGUAGGUGGGCUAUUAAGUCAGCGGUGAAAGUUUGUCGCUUAACGAUAAAAUUGCCGUUGAUACUGGUAUUCUUGAGUAUAGAUGAAGUAGGCGGAAUUCGUGGUGUAGCGGUGAAAUUCAUAGAGAUCACGCAGAACUCCGGUGGCGAAGGCAGCUUACUAGGGUAUAACUGACACUGAAGCACGAAAGCGUGGGUAUCAAACAGG
rnacentral:rRNA from 1 species